rnacentral:rRNA from 1 species
AGUGAACGCUGGCGGUAGGCCUAACACAUGCAAGUCGAACGGCAGCACAGUAAGAGCUUGCUCUUACGGGUGGCGAGUGGCGGACGGGUGAGGAAUACAUCGGAAUCUACUUUUACGUGGGGGAUAACGUAGGGAAACUUACGCUAAUACCGCAUACGACCUACGGGUGAAAGCAGGGGAUCUUCGGACCUUGCGCGAUUGAAUGAGCCGAUGUCGGAUUAGCUAGUUGGCGGGGUAAAGGCCCACCAAGGCGACGAUCCGUAGCUGGUCUGAGAGGAUGAUCAGCCACACUGGAACUGAGACACGGUCCAGACUCCUACGGGAGGCAGCAGUGGGGAAUAUUGGACAAUGGGCGCAAGCCUGAUCCAGCCAUACCGCGUGGGUGAAGAAGGCCUUCGGGUUGUAAAGCCCUUUUGUUGGGAAAGAAAAGCAGCGGUUAAUACCCCGCUGUUCUGACGGUACCCAAAGAAUAAGCACCGGCUAACUUCGUG